AUUGAACGCUGGCGGCAGGCCUAACACAUGCAAGUCGAGCGGAGCGGCGGACGGGUGAGUAAUGCCUAGGAAUCUGCCUGGUAGUGGGGGAUAACGUCCGGAAACGGGCGCUAAUACCGCAUACUAUCAGAUGAGCCUAGGUCGGAUUAGCUAGUUGGUGGGGUAAAGGCCUACCAAGGCGACGAUCCGUAACGGGUCUGAGAGGAUGAUCAGUCACACUGGAACUGAGACACGGUCAAGACUCCUAGGGGAGGAAGCAGUGGGGAAUAUUGGACAAUGGGCGAAAGCCUGCGCCAGCCAUGCCGGGUGUGUGAAGAAGGUCUUCGGAUUGUAAAGCACUUUCAGCGGGGAGGCGUUACCCGCAGAAGAAGCACCGGCUAACUCCGUGCCAGCAGCCGCGGUAAUAC
rnacentral:rRNA from 1 species